GAUGAACGCUGACAGAAUGCUUAACACAUGCAAGUCAACUUGAACUUCGGUUUGGGUGGCGGACGGGUGAGUAACGCGUAAAGAACUUGCCUCACAGAUAGGGACAACAUUUGGAAACGAAUGCUAAUACCUGAUAUUAUGAUUUUAGGGCAUCCUAGAAUUAUGAAAGCUAUAUGCACUGUGAGAGAGCUUUGCGUCCCAUUAGCUAGUUGGAGAGGUAACGGCUCACCAAGGCGAUGAUGGGUAGCCGGCCUGAGAGGGUGAUCGGCCACAAGGGGACUGAGACACGGCCCUUACUCCUACGGGAGGCAGCAGUGGGGAAUAUUGGACAAUGGACCAAGAGUCUGAUCCAGCAAUUCUGUGUGCACGAUGAAGUUUUUCGGAAUGUAAAGUGCUUUCAGUUGGGAAGAAAAAAAUGACGGUACCAACAGAAGAAGUGACGGCUAAAUACGUGCCAGCAGCCGCGGUAAUACGUAUGUCACGAGCGUUAUCCGGAUUUAUUGGGCGUAAAGCGCGUCUAGGUGGUUAUGUAAGUCUGAUGUGAAAAUGCAGGGCUCAACUCUGUAUUGCGUUGGAAACUGUGUAACUAGAGUACUGGAGAGGUAAGCGGAACUACAAGUGUAGAGGUGAAAUUCGUAGAUAUUUGUAGGAAUGCCGAUGGGGAAGCCAGCUUACUGGACAGAUACUGACGCUGAAGCGCGAAAAGCGUGGGUAGCAAACAGG
rnacentral:rRNA from 1 species